rnacentral:rRNA from 1 species
UACGUAGGGUGCGAGCGUUGUCCGGAAUUAUUGGGCGUAAAGGGCUCGUAGGCGGUUUGUCGCGUCGGGAGUGAAAACUCAGGGCUUAACCCUGAGCCUGCUUCCGAUACGGGCAGACUAGAGGUAUGCAGGGGAGAACGGAAUUCCUGGUGUAGCGGUGAAAUGCGCAGAUAUCAGGAGGAACACCGGUGGCGAAGGCAGAUCUCUGGGCCGUAACUGACGCUGAGGAGCGAAAGCGUGGGGAGCGAACAGG